GUUUUCUUUUACUUCUUACUAUCGCUCAAACUUCUGGUCAAGUUGGCUGGGAGCCGUGGGAUGAAAAUGUAUCACCAGUGUCUGAUGACUUACCUUGUGAUCAUCCAGUCUGCGUAGAACCUUGCCCGGAAGCCGCACCGCCUCGGUACUGUCCACCAAACAUAACGAAAUGUUCAUCUGGCUGUGUCUGCAUGCUUGAAUGCCAACAACCACAGUAUGUCUGUUUUCAAACGAAAUUCUGCGUUUCAAGACGUCGCUAUUUAUCGAAAAAACCAACACCUGCAAUUGUUUGAUAUUCAAACAUCCAUUUCUAAGAGAUAUUGAAAAACCUAUCUAAUUUUGUGUAAUAGAAAGAUGAAUAGAAAUCUACUCAGAUGUAACAACAGGAAAAUAUAUCUCUUAUAAAUAUAUCUUACUAUACUAUACAUCUUAUGUGGCGAAAACAUCUGCGUCCUCUUGAAACAAAACUAAUAUUAAGAAAAGAAACAAUAUACGAAAUGAAGUCCAGAAAAAUUGAGAUUAAUUAUAUCAAUAGAUCAAAUUUACUAUUGUUUUUUAUUAUAUCAUAAAUCUAAA